ensembl:ncRNA F57B7.12 ncRNA
CAAGAUCCAUUCCCCCAAUCUUGGGAGUAGAGGAGCUGAGCAUCCGGCGGCUAGCGAGGUAGCAAUAACACUGCAUUCCAUUUCUUCUUCCUCUCAUCCUCCUCCUCCUCGAAUUGAAUGAAUUCAAUUGGACGGGC